rnacentral:rRNA from 1 species
AUUGAACGCUGGCGGUAGGCCUAACACAUGCAAGUCGAACGCGAAAGUCCUUCGGGAUGAGUAGAGUGGCGGACGGGUGAGUAACGCGUAGGAAUCUAUCCUGUAGUGGGGGAUAACGUUUCGAAAGGAACGCUAAUACCGCAUACGCCCCAAGGGGGAAAGCGGGGGAUCUUCGGACCUCGUGCUAUAGGAGGAGCCUGCGUCGGGUUAGCUAGUUGGUGAGGUAAAGGCUCACCAAGGCGACGAUCCGUAGCUGGUCUGAGAGGAUGAUCGGCCACACCGGAACUGAGACACGGUCCGGACUCCUACGGGAGGCGGCAGUGGGGAAUAUUGCGCAAUGGGCGAAAGCCUGACGCAGCCAUACGGCGUGUGUGAAGAAGGCCUUCGGGUUGUAAAGCACUUUCAGUGGGGAGGAAAAGCUGGUGGCUAAUAUCCAUCGGCCGUGACGCUACCCACAGAAGAAGCACCGGCUAAUUCCGUGCCAGCCGCCGCGGUAAUAC